CCUACGGGCGGCAGCAGUGGGGGAUAUUGCACAAUGGGGGGAACCCUGAUGCAGCGACGCCGCGUGGGUGAAGAAGCGCCUCGGCGCGUAAAGCCCUGUCAGCAGGGAAGAAAAUGACGGUACCUGAAGAAGAAGCCCCGGCUAACUACGUGCCAGCAGCCGCGGGCAUACGUAGGGGGCAAGCGUUAUCCGGGUGUACUGGGUGUAAGGGGGGGGCAGACGGCGAUGCAGGCCAGGAGGGAAAGCCGGGGGCCCAACCCCGGGACUGCUUUUGGAACUGCGUGGCUGGAGUGCAGGAGAGGCAGGCGGAAUUCCUGGUGUAGCGGUGAAAUGCGUAGAUAUCAGGAGGAACACCGGUGGCGAAGGUGGCCUGCUGGACUGCAACUGACGUUGAGGCCCGAAAGCGUGGGGAGCAAACAGGAUUAGAUACCCCUGUAGUC
rnacentral:rRNA from 1 species